rnacentral:rRNA from 1 species
CCUACGGGCGGCAGCAGUGAGGAAUAUUGGUCAAUGGUCGGGAGACUGAACCAGCCAAGCCGCGUGAGGGAUGAAUGUACAGAGUAUUGUAAACCUCUUUUGUCAGGGAACAAAGGCGGGGACGCGUCCCCGGAUGAGUGUACCUGAAGAAAAAGAAUCGGCUAACUCCGUGCCAGCAGCCGCGUUAAUACGGAGGAUGCGAGCGUUAUCCGGAUUUAUUGGGUUGAAAGGGUGCGCAGGCGGUCUGUUAAGUCAGCGGUCAAAGCUCGGGGCUCAACCCCGGCCCGCCGUUGAAACUGGCAGUCUUGAGUUGGUGAGAGGUAUGCGGAAUGCGCGGUGUAGCGGUGAAAUGCAUAGAUAUCACGCAGAACUCCGAUUGCGAAGGCAGCAUGCCGGCUCCACACUGACGCUGAGGCACGAAAGCGUGGGUAUCGAACAGGAUUAGAUACCCCAGUAGUC